rnacentral:rRNA from 1 species
AUUGAACGCUGGCGGCAGGCCUAACACAUGCAAGUCGAGCGAGCGGCGGACGGGUGAGUAAUGUAUGGGGACUGCCCGAUAGAGGGGGAUAACUACUGGAAACGGUAGCUAAUACCGCAUACUAUCGGAUAACCCAUAUGGGAUUAGCUAGUUGUUGGGGUAAUGGCUCACCAAUGCGACGAUCCCUAGCUGGUCUGAGAUGAAGAUCAGCCACACUGGGACUGAGACUCGGCCCAGACUCCUACGGAGGCAGCAGUGGGUAAUAUUGCACAAUGGGCGCAAGCCUGAUGCAGCGAUGCUGCGUGUAUGAAGAAGGCCCUAGGGUUUUAAAGGACUUUCAGUCGGGAGGCGUUACCGACAGAAGAAGCACCGGCUAACUCCGUGCCAGCAGCCGCGGUAAUAC